AAGUCGUAACAAGGUCUCCGUUGGUGAACCAGCGGAGGGAUCAUUACAGAGUUCUCUCGCGAGGCUCCCAAACCAUUGUGAACAUACCCGUAUCGUUGCCUCGGCGGUUCGUCCCCCUCGGGGUGUCCCGCCGGUGGCCCACCAAACUCUUUUUCUGUUUAGGGGACUCUCUGAGAAAAACAAGCAAAUAAGUUAAAACUUUCAACAACGGAUCUCUUGGCUCUG
rnacentral:misc_RNA from 1 species